UGAAUGCCAUUAGUCUUUCAAAUUCGGAAGCUUCCGCAUAUGGGCCUGAAGAACAUAACAAUAUGACCAAGAACAACCUCAACUUGGAACAACUUGAAGAAGUCAUCUGGAAACUUAAAUGAUCCACCUGCAGGAAACCAUGAUUUGGAGGAUAUUAAGCAAUGGGUAAGUAAAAGCAAAGCUCUCAGAAUGAUUACAAAGUGUUUCACCGCACAACAGAGUUUCAGAACUUCUAUGCCAUAAAACAAAUAUUCGUUUCAGGCGAAGGUAAUUCACAGUAUAUACAAAGAUUAGUGAAGACUCGAGAAUAAGAUUUGGAGGGAGUUAAAUACGCAUAAAGCAUGAAAAGGAAACACAAUGACUGAAUAUAUUAUUGUCGAACCAGAAAAAGAAAUAUUCAAAUGCACAUACUAGUUUAAACUCAGACGUGUGGAUGCUCAAAUGCAUUCAGUAAAGGGCUUCAACGAGAGCAUAGAAGAAAACUCAUACGUAUCAGCUUCAAAUCGACUACUUAUUCAAGGAACACGAAGAUUACCAGAAAAGAGAGAGAGCAGAAGAAAUAUUGACAUAAUGUUCACCAUUUCAUCACGCUAGAGACUUGUGUAUUGUGUAUUGUCAGUUCAAAACUGCAAAAGUGAGAUUUUACAAGAAACUGAGCCAGGUAGAGUGGGAGAAAUUCACCAUCCUCCAUGCCUUUCUCAGUAGAGUUGGUAAGAGUGUCAGUGACAGUACUCCAAAGUCAAAAUAAAUGUGACCCGCCUACAUAUCUCUCAAGGCAUUAAAAGACUAAACAGAGUUUAAUUAUCCAGCCGAAGUGAUUGUGCGUGAACAGCAGAAACAUCAAAGUGAGCACUUGCAAUAAAGAUUUAUGCGUUUAAUUUCAUUUCAUUAGCGAGCUCUACUCUGCAAUUUCAAAAUGCAGCUGGCAUGACAGGCAUAGUGACAAACGUUACGAUCUCGUAGGCCCCUCCAUUUUCAAGGAAAUUACUGGGUUCAGAUUCAGUUUUUGUUUUUAACUUUUUGCCAGCUAUGGUUUGGUUUAGAUUUCUUGAACACGAAAUGGGCCAUCUGUGAACUUUGUAAUCUCCGUCUGAUCAGAACAUGGCAGAGUGAUGAGUCCUUUCUCAUGCGAUUUGCAAGUAAGCUGUGUAUUUAUAGAAGCUCUUUUGUAUAAACCGACACGCGACCCAUAUGGGGUUUUUAUUUUCC